rnacentral:lncRNA from 1 species
UCCUAUGUUUGUCCAUCUAUGAGUAGCACGCAUAUAUCUCAGGGUAUGGGGGCGAGAUCAUAGAAGCUCUCAAAGUCAGAUGGAGGCCAAAUGUCGAGUCGAGAUAGAGAUUGUUGAAAUUUGGCACCUCAAAUUCAAUCCACAGUAGCAAAAUCCACAGCAGCGGAGCCCAGAUGAAGGAGCCCAUGAUGGCUAGGUAGGCAUGUAGGCAUAGAGAUGUGAUCCAUAGACG